rnacentral:tRNA from 1 species
GCACCAGCGGCACGACCGGGAGCGCGGGGCGCUGGGCCUGCUCGACCUCGGCCGGCGCCGGGGCCUGCUCGAUGAUCGUGUGGGCGUUGGUGCC